GAUGAACGCUAGCGGCGGGCUUAAUACAUGCAAGUCAAGGGGUAGCAAUACACCGGCGUACGGGUGCGUAACGCGUAUGGAACCUGCCCUUAUCUGGGGGAUAACUCGGGGAAACUCGAGCUAAUACCGCAUAAGAUAGUAGAGAGGCAUCUCUUAGCUAUUAAAGAUUUAUCGGAUAAGGAUGGCCAUGCGUAAGAUUAGAUAGUUGGCGAGGUAACGGCUCACCAAGUCUACGAUCUUUAGGGGCUCUGAGAGGAGAAUCCCCCACACUGGCACUGGGAUACGGGCCAGACUCCUACGGGAGGCAGCAGUAGGGAAUAUUGGGCAAUGGGCGGAAGCCUGACCCAGCCACGCCGCGUGCAGGAAGACGGCCCUCUGGGUUGUAAACUGCUUUUAACUGGGAAGAAAGUAGUCCUUGCGAGGAAAGUUGACGGUACCAGUUGAAUAAGCCAUGGCUAACAACGUGCCAGCCGCCGCUGUAAGAC
rnacentral:rRNA from 1 species